AAUUUUAAUAUCGAUGAGCCUAAAAUCGAAAUGAAACACUUUCGUAUAUCGAUAUUUUAAAUCUUUAACGAAACAAUUUUAAAUUUAUCGCAGUUAACUGUGGAACAUACGUCGUAAUGUAAAUUUACAAUUUAUUUAAAAUAGUGUUUAAUAAAAAAUAACGUGGAAAAAGUGUUCAGUGCAAAUAUGUUAUAUGUGAAUUAUGGAAUAAACACUUUAAGCUACGUUAUAUCAAGUUUUCAAUUAUUUUUAGACAUCAAAUUUAAAAAGAAUAAACAAAACGAAAUAGAUUGCGAAACAUUUGACCUGAUCUAACCUCGAAAGGAUUUCGUGUCGCAUCGCAUAAGUGACAUCUCUCGAGAUAUCUGGCCCAUAGUGCCAAAAGGAUUAAUCGUCUCGACGUUCGUCGGAUAAAGG